CCUACGGGGGGCUGCAGUGGGGAAUAUUGCACAAUGGGCGCAAGCCUGAUGCAGCCAUGCCGCGUGUGUGAAGAAGGCCUUCGGGUUGUAAAGCACUUUCAGCGGGGAGGAAGGCGGUGAGGUUAAUAACCUCAUCGAUUGACGUUACCCGCAGAAGAAGCACCGGCUAACUCCGUGCCAGCAGCCGCGGUAAUACGGAGGGUGCAAGCGUUAAUCGGAAUUACUGGGCGUAAAGCACACGCAGGCGGUCUGUCAAGUCGGAUGUGAAAUCCCCGGGCUCAACCUGGGAACUGCAUUCGAAACUGGCAGGCUAGAGUCUUGUAGAGGGGGGUAGAAUUCCAGGUGUAGCGGUGAAAUGCGUAGAGAUCUGGAGGAAUACCGGUGGCGAAGGCGGCCCCCUGGACAAAGACUGACGCUCAGGUGCGAAAGCGUGGGGAGCAAACAGGAUUAGAUACCCGAGUAGUC
rnacentral:rRNA from 1 species